GUGUUGUCCUGGGGUAAGCGUGUAGGGCGAGGUCUAGGUAAAUCCGGACCUCAUGAAGCCCGAGACGCGAUGCCGAGCCGUUACAGGCGAAGUCACUAAUCCUAUGCUGCCGAGAAAAGCCUCUAGCGAGCUGACAAGGUGCCCGUACCCCAAACCAACUCAGGUGGGCAGGUAGUGAAUACCAAGGCGAUCGGGGGAACUGUGGUUAAGGAACUCGGCAAAAUGCCUCCGUAACUUCGGGAGAAGGAGGACCUCUACGGUGAUGGGCUUUACGCCCGGAGCCCUAUGAGGUGGCACAGACCAGGGGAAAGCGACUGUUUACUAAAAACACAGGAGCGUGCGAAGUCGCAAGACGAUGUAUACGCUCUGACGCCUCCCCGGUGCUGGAAGGUUACGGGGAAGGGUUAGCUCCUUUGGGAGCGAAGCUCUGAACCUAAGCCCCAGUAAACGGCGGCCGUAACUAUAACGGUCCUAAGGUAGCGAAAUUCCUUGUCGGGUAAGUUCCGACCUGCACGAAUGGCGUAACGACUUUCCUACUGUCUCAACCACAGACCCGGCGAAAUUGAAGUACGAGUAAAGAUGCUCGUUAGCUGCAGAAGGACGGAAAGACCCCGUGGACCUUCACUACAACUUGAUGUUGGGUUUUGGUAUGUGUUGUGUAGGAUAGGUGGGAGACUAGGAAGCAUUGGCGCUGGCCAGUGUGGAGUCAACCUUGAAAUACCACCCUGCUCCUACUGGAACUCUAACCUAGGUCCGUUAUCCGGAUCGGGAACAGCGUCAGGCGGGUAGUUUGACUGGGGCGGUCGCCUCCUAAAGAGUAACGGAGGCGCCCAAAGGUUCCCUCAGGCUGGUUGGCAAUCAGCCGUCGAGUGCAAUGGCACAAGGGAGCUUGACUGCGAGACUUACAAGUCAAGCAGGUGCGAAAGCAGGGCAUAGUGAUCCGGCGGUUGCGUGUGGAAGCGCCGUCGCUCAACGGAUAAAAGGUACCCCGGGGAUAACAGGCUCAUCUUCCCCAAGAGUCCAUAUCGACGGGAAGGUUUGGCACCUCGAUGUCGGCUCAUCGCAUCCUGGGGCUGAAGCAGGUCCCAAGGGUUGGGCUGUUCGCCCAUUAAAGCGGUACGCGAGCUGGGUUUAGAACGUCGCGAGACAGUUCGGUCCCUAUCCUCUGCAGCCGUAGGAGAUUUGAGGAAGGCUAUCCCUAGUACGAGAGGACCGGGAUGGACGCAGCUCUGGUGUGCCAGUUGUCCUGCCAAGGGCAUGGCUGGUUAGCCACCUGCGGAAGAGAUAAGCGCUGAAAGCAUCUAAGUGCGAAGCUUGUUCCAAGAUGAGAUCUCCCACUGGAUAACCAGGUAAGGCCCGUGGCCAGAUCACCACGUUGAUAGGCCGGAGGUGUAAGCACGGCAACGUGUUCAGCCGACCGGUACUAAUCGGCCGAGGGCUUGGAUU
rnacentral:rRNA from 1 species